rfam:Ovis aries breed Texel chromosome 3, whole genome shotgun sequence.
UCCCUUCUGGCUCAUCUGGUAAAGAGUCCGCCUGCAAAGCGGGAGAUCUGGGUUUGAUCCCUGGGCUGGGAA